GUCUACAGCCAUGCCACCCUGAACAAGCCCGAUCCCGUUGGAUCUCGGAAGCUAAGCAGGAUCGGGCUUGGUUAGUACUUGGAUGGGAGACUGCCUAAGAAGACCAGGAGCUGUAGGCA
rnacentral:rRNA from 1 species